rnacentral:rRNA from 1 species
UAGGGAAUCUUCGGCAAUGGACGAAAGUCUGACCGAGCAACGCCGCGUGAGUGAAGAAGGUUUUCGGAUCGUAAAACUCUGUUGUUAGAGAAGAACAAGGACGUUAGUAACUGAACGUCCCCUGACGGUAUCUAACCAGAAAGCCACGGCUAACUACGUGCCAGCAGCCGCGGUAAUACGUAGGUGGCAAGCGUUGUCCGGAUUUAUUGGGCGUAAAGCGAGCGCAGGCGGUUUCUUAAGUCUGAUGUGAAAGCCCCCGGCUCAACCGGGGAGGGACAUUGGAAACUGGGAGACUUGAGUGCAGAAGAGGAGAGUGGAAUUCCAUGUGUAGCGGUGAAAUGCGUAGAUAUAUGGAGGAACACCAGUGGCGAAGGCGGCUCUCUGGUCUGUAACUGACGCUGAGGCUCGAAAGCGUGGGGAGCAAACAGG